GUGUCAUGUGAUAACAGCUUCAUGCCCCAUCUGAUUACAUUUAGUGCAUUUAGCAUCAGGUCUUCUCCAGCAUCUAAAUGGAGGAUGACCCUUCUUUCCACAAUGUGGGCAAGAAGCCUAUCGGAG